GCAGAAAAUUAAGAUGACAGGAAACCGAUUACUUUCCAACAGGACAGUGAGGUGUGCAACUAAUGUAGAAGCAUUUUCACUCCGUGCUGCAGAUUUAGAAGAAGUCACAAAUCUCUAUGCAAGAUUUUUGCGGAACUCACGUGUUCAACGAGCCAUAAGGUAUGAGUCACCCUAUUGGAGGGGACGAGCAGCAAUCCGUAUUCAAGUGGCAUGGAGAUACAGAAAGAGAUGCUUAAACCGGGCAACCACCUCAAACCAUGUAUCCUAGUUAUUCAAUGAGGAAAUGAUUUGUUCUGACAUGUAAAUUUAUAUUUGUAUGAUAUGUAGUUAAUCUCCAUUGUUGUUCAGUCAAUUGAAUAGAUUAUAUCUUUAAUGAAACUACUUCCCCGAAGGUUCAAGAAAAGUUGCAUGUAAGAAUCUACCCAUAACCAUCAACUUGUCUUUUGGAAAAUAUAGCUUAAGCAUUAUAUAGCAAAAUAUACACAUGUAAACCAUAAUUGGGCCUGGAUCUUAAUUGGAAAGAACAGUGUUAAUGUGGUGUAUCUGAUUA